CAGCACUCCAGAUGUUGUGGACUACACCUCCCAUGAUGCUUUACCAGCAUUAUGGGUGUAAGAGCACUAGGGGGGGUGUAGUCCACAAUAUCUGGAGUGCCG
rnacentral:miRNA from 1 species